ACUCUCGGCAAUAGAUAUCUCGGCUCUCGCAUCGAUGAAGAACGUAGCAAAAUGCGAUACCUGGUGUGAAUUGCAGAAUCCGCGAACCAUCGAGUUUUUGAAUGCAAUUUGCGCCCGAGGCCUUCUGGCUGAGGGCACGUCUGCCUGGGCGUCACGCCAAAAGACACUCCCAACCCACCCGAGGGGGAGGGACGUGGUGUUUGGUCCCCCGUGCCGUAGGGCACGGUGGGCCGAAGUUGGGGCUGCCGGCGAAUCGUGUCGGGCACAACAUGUGGUGGGCGACACUCAGUUGUUCUCGUGAAGCGCCCCGGCACGCGGCCGGCGCAUCGGCCCUAAGGACCCAUGGAGCACUGCAGCGCAUAGCCGCUCGGACCGUGACCCCAGGUCAGUCGGGACUACCCGCUGAGUUUAAGCAUAUAAAUAAGCGGAGGAGAAGAAACUUACAAGGAUUCCCCUAGUAACGGCGAGCGAACCGGGACCAGCCCAGCUUGAGAAUCGGGUGGCUUCGUCACUCAAUUGUAGUCUAGAGAGGCGCCCUGGUCGUAUGCGGAACGGCUUCUGCUGGUCCGCCGAUCGGCUCGGGGCGUGGACCGUUGUCGGCCGUGCCGGCGGCCUAAGCCCGGGGACCCUAGGCGCCUCCGACAGCCGUCAUCAGCACGGCCGGUCUUCGCAUGCCGCAAGGCACGCCCCUCGGGGCGCUAUGCUGCAACAGCCUGCGAGCUCCCCAUCUGACCCGUCUUGAAACACGGACCAAGGAGUCUGACAUGCGUGCGAGUCGACGGGUUCUGAAACCUGGGAUGCACAAGGAAGCUGAUGAGCAGGAGGCACUCACGGGCCGCACCACUGGCCGACCCUGAUCUUCUGUGAAGGGUUUGAGUUGGAGCAUCCUGUCAGACCCAAAAGAUGGUGAACUAUGCCUGAGCGGGGCAAAGCCAGAGGAACUCUGGUGGAGGCUCGAAGUGAUACUGAUGUGCAAAUCAUUCGUCUGACUUGGGUAUAGUGGCAAAAGACUAAUCGAACCAUCUAGUAGCUGGUUCCCUCUGAAGUUUCCCUCAGGAUAGCUGGAGCCCAUUACGAGUUCUAUCGGGUAAAGCCAAUGAUUAGAGGCAUCGGGGCACAACGCCCUCGACCUAUUCUCAAACUUUAAAUAGGUAGGACGGCACGACUGCUCCGGUGAUCCGUGCCACGGAAUCGGGAGCUCCAAGUGGACCAUUUUUGGUAAGCAGAACUGGUGAUGCGGGAUAAACCAGAAGCCGGGUUACGGUGCCAAACUGCGCGCUAACCUAGAACCCACAAAGGGUGUUGGUCGAUUAAGACAGCAGGACGGUGGUCAUGGAAGUCAAAAUCUGCUAAGGAGUGUGUAACAACUCACCUGCCGAAUCAACUAGCCCUGAAAAUGGAUGGCGCUGAAGCGCGCGACCCACACCCGGCCAUCUAGGCGAGCGCCAUGCCCCGAUGAGUAGGAGGGCGCGGCGACCGCCGCAAAACCCGGGGCGCGAGCCCUGGCGGAGCGGCCGUCGGUGCAGAUCUUGGUGGUAGUAGCAAAUAUUCAAAUGAGAACUUUGAAGGCCGAAGAGGAGAAAGGUUCCAUGUGAAUGGCACUUGCAACAUGGGUAGCUGAUCCUAAGGGACGGGGUAACCCCGGCAGACAGCGCAAUCUCGCGCGUCCCUUGAAAUGGAAUCGGGUUAAGAUUUCCUGAGCUGGGACAUGGCGGUUGACGGUGACGUUAGGAAGUCCGGAGACGCCGGCGGGGGCCUCGGGAAGAGUUAUCUUUUCUGCUUAAUGGCCUGCCAACCCUGGAAUCGGUUUAGCCGGAGGUAGGGUCCAACGGUCGGAAGAGCACCGCAUGUCGCGCGGUGUCCGGUGCGCCCCCAGCGGCCAUUGAAAAUCCGGAGGACUAAGUACCGUCCACGCCCGGUCGUACUCAUAACCGUAUCAGGUCUCCAAGGUGAACAACCUCUGGGCAAUGGAACAAUGUAGGCAAGGGAAGUCGGCAAAACAGAUCCGUAACUCCAGGAAAAGGAUUGGCUUUGAGGGUUGGGCUUGGGGGUCCCGGCCCCGAACCCGUCGGCUGCCGGCGGACUGCUCGAGCUGCUCCUGCGGCGAGAGCGGGCUGCCGCGUGCCGGCCGGGGGACGGACCGGGAACGGUCUCUUCGGGGGGCCUUCCCGGGCGUCGAACAACCGACUCAGAACUGGUACGGACAAGGGGAAUCCGACUGUUUAAUUAAACAAAGCAUUGCGAUGGUCCCCACGGAUGCUGACACAAUGUGAUUUCUACCCAGUGCUCUGAAUGUCAAAGUGAAGAAAUUCAACCAAGCGUGGGUAAACGGCGGGAGUAACUAUGACUCUCUUAAGGUAGCCAAAUGCCUCAUCAUCUAAUUAGUGACCCGCAUGAAUGGAUUAACGAGAUUCCCACUGUCCCUGUCUACUAUCCAGUGAAACCACAACCAAGGGAACGGGACGAAGGCUACCGUCGUGUGUUGGCAAGACGUGCUCUAGAAGUUUUAAUUGGUCUUCCAACAGGUCAUCAAGUGGUACCUGAACAUAUUCUCUAGAGUCAAACUACAAUAGCUAAUACAGUGAAGGAAACACUUAGAGCUGCUAUGAUAACUGCUGCUGGGGAGGAUAAAAAUGGAAUCUAAAAGUUGUUGCAAAAGCUUGUGAAAAUGCUAAGUCGCAAGAUGACCACAUGCUGCAAGCCUGGCUUUUUAUAGCCGCUAUGUUCGAGUUUGGAUUCUUCGCAAGCUCUUCAUUGUAUCUUCGUGUUAAAACCCUGGAAGCUGUGUCUGAUAUAAAGCUUCCAGGGUUUUAACACGAAGAUACAAUGAAGAGCUUGCGAAGAAUCCAAACUCGAACAUA
rnacentral:rRNA from 1 species